rnacentral:rRNA from 1 species
GACGAACGCUGGCGGCGUGCCUAAUACAUGCAAGUCGAGCGGAUCUUGAAAAGCUUGCUUUUCCUGAUCAGCGGCGGACGGGUGAGUAACACGUGGGCAACCUGCCUGUAAGACUGGGAUAACUUCGGGAAACCGGAGCUAAUACCGGAUAAUCCUUUCCGACUCAUGUCGGAAAGUUGAAAGACGGUUUCGGCUGUCACUUACAGAUGGGCCCGCGGCGCAUUAGCUAGUUGGUGGGGUAACGGCCCACCAAGGGGACGAUGCGUAGCCGACCUGAGAGGGGGAUCGGCAACACCGGGACUGAGGCACGGCCCAGACGACUAAGGGAGGCAGCAGUAGGGAAUCUUCCGCAAUGGACGAAAGUCUGACGGAGCAACGCCGCGUGAGCGAAGAAGGCCUUCGGGUCGUAAAGCUCUGUUGUCAGGGAAGAACAAGUACCGGAGUAACGGCCGGUACCUUGACGGUACCUGACCAGAAAGCCACGGCUAACUACGUGCCAGCCGCCGCCGUAACAC